CCUGCCACUUGAAGCUUCGAAUCCAGUCUGCAUAGAACAGGGAAACAGCCAGUCUCACAAAUGAAAGAAAUGAAGUGGCCUGCCCGCCUGGAAGGAGGGUGCUGCAUUCUGUCCUCACACUAAGACCUAAAUUCAUUUCUCUUCUGAAUAUGAAACACUGAAGGUCAAGCAUUGGAGAAUCAAAGUAGAACAGUAGAAUGCCAGUUUUUAUUCCUGAG